rnacentral:rRNA from 1 species
AUUGAACGCUGGCGGCAGGCCUAACACAUGCAAGUCGAACGCGUGGCGGACGGGUGAGUAAUGUCUGGGAAACUGCCUGAUGGAGGGGGAUAACUCCGGAAAACGGUAGUUAAUACGGCAUAGCAUACGAUGAGCCCAGAUGGGAUUAGCUUGUAGGUGGGGUAACGGCUCACCAAGGCGACGCUCCCUAGCGGGUCUGAGAGGAUGAACAGCCACACUGGAACUGAGACACGGGCCAGACUCCUACGGGAGACAGCAGUGGGGAAUAUUGCACAAUGGGCGCAAGCCUGAUGCAGCCAUGCCGCGUGUAUGAAGAAGGCCUUCGGGUUGUAAAGUACUUUCAGCGGGGAGGCGUUACCCGCAGAAGAAGCACCGGCUAACUCCGUGCCAGCCGCCGCGGUAAUAC